UGUGUCUGUGUUUCCAGCCUAUAGCUACCAGAGCCUGUGUCUACACUAACAGACACAAGAACCACAUCUACUCCUGCAGGUAGGGGAGUGUGUGUCUGUGUUUCCAGCCUAUAGCUACCAGAACCUGUGUCUACACUAACAGACACAAGAACCACAUCUACUCCUGCAGGUAGGGGAGUGUGUGUUUGUGUUUCCAGCCUAUAGCUACCAGAACCUGUGUCUACACUAACAGACACAAGAACCACAUCUACUCCUGCAGGUAGGGGAGUGUGUGUCUGUGUUUCCAGCCUAUAGCUACCAGAGCCUGUGUCUACACUAACAGACGCAAGAACCACAUCUACUCCUGCAGGUAGGGGAGUGUGUGUCUGUGUUUCCAGCCUAUAGCUGCAGCUACCAGAGCCUGUCUACACUAACAGACACAAUAUUAACAUUACACUCCUGCAGGUACAGUACACUCUUAGAACAAAGGUGCUAUCUAGAACCGACAAGGGUUCUUCGGAACCCUUUUUGCUGCCAGGCAGAACCUUUUGGGGUUCCAUGACUUUCCACAGAGGGUUCUACCUGGAACCAAAAAUGGUUCUCCUAUGGGGACAGCUGAAAUGCCCUUUUGGAACCUUUUUUUCUACGAGUGUAGUCAUACUGCAACCAACAGAACUACAAGGUAGGCCCAUAGAGUUAAGAUAUUGACAGUAACCUGUCUUUGCGU